GACGAACGCUGGCGGCGUGCUUAACACAUGCAAGUCGAACGAAGUGGCGAACGGGUGAGUAACGCGUACUCAACCUGCCCUUCAGAGGGGGACAACAUUUGGAAACGACUGCUAAUACCCCAUACUGAAGGAGGGGAUUGCGUCUGAUUAGCUAGUUGGGGGGGUAACGGCCCACCAAGGCGAUGAUCAGUAGCCGGCCUGAGAGGAUGAACGGCCACAUUGGGACUGAGAAACGGCCCAGACUCCUACGGGAGGCAGCAGUGGGGAAUCAUCCGCAAUGGACGAAAGUCUGACGGAGCAACGCCGCGUGAGUGAUGACGGCCUUCGGGUUGUAAAGCGCUGUUAAUCGGGACGCGGUACCGGAAUAGAAAGCCACGGCUAACUACGUGCCAGCAGCCGCGGUAAUAC
rnacentral:rRNA from 1 species